UCCCUACGGGGGGCAGCAGUGAGGAAUAUUGGUCAAUGGGCGGGAGCCUGAACCAGCCAAGUCGCGUGAGGGAAGAAGGUACUGAGUAUUGUAAACCUCUUUUGCCAGGGGACAAAGGCGGCCACGGGUGGCCGUAAGAGGGUACCUGGAGAAAAAGCAUCGGCUAACUCCGUGCCAGCAGCCGCGGUAAUACGGAGGAUGCGAGCGUUAUCCGGAUUUAUUGGGUUUAAAGGGUGCGUAGGCGGUCCGGAAAGUCAGCGGUAAAAGCCCGGGGCUCAACCCCGGCGAGCCGUUGAAACUGUCGG
rnacentral:rRNA from 1 species